rnacentral:rRNA from 1 species
GUCCUUUAGAUUAAAAUUAAAGGUCUAACCUGCCCACUGAAUAUAUUGAAUGGCCGCGGUAAAUUGACUGUGCAAAGGUAGCAUAAUCAGUAGUUUUUUAAUUGGAAGCUUGUAUGAAUGGUUGGACGAGAUAAAAUCUGUCUUUAUAUAAUAAUUAGAAUUUAAUUUUUAAGUUAAAAAGCUUAAAUUUAAUUAAAAGACGAGAAGACCCUAUAGAUCUUUAUAAAAAAUUAUUUAUUUAUAUUAAAGUUUAUAUUUUAUUUUAAAUAUUUUUUUAUUUUAUUGGGGUAAUAGAAAGAUUUAAAUAAUUCUUUUUUUAUUAAACAAUAAUUUUUGAUUAAUUGAUCCAAUUUUAUUGAUUAUAAGAUUAAGUUACCUUAGGGAUAACAGCGUAAUUUUUUUAAAGAGUUCUUAUCGAUAAAAAAGUUUGCGACCUCGAUGUUGGAUUAAAAAUUAUUCUAGGUGUAGUAGUUUAGAAUUUUGGUCUGUUCGACCAUUGAAUUUUU